AUGCUUGUAAAUGCUGCUCUGAAGGUUUGAAACCCCGGACUUUCACAUCGUAACGCUAUAUUAAGGUGUGACACACACCCCAUGACGAGUGAGGGAUCGGUUACUAUUGAGGAUUGUGACUUGGUCCAUCCCGAGUGAUAAUUCUACUAGAUUGGCGACUGAUACACAUACCUUAUUGAUAUUCAUUAGGCUUGUUGCCAUAUUUGGGGCCAUGUGCCGACUUGUACAAUCCUUCGGGGAUUGAUAGUUCUAUUCAUGCAUCCAUUGGCAUAUCAUUUGGUCUGAGUCCAAAAUUUUCAUAUUGUUUUGCAAACUCAGCCACAUUUCUAAGUUUUGAAAACUCAAAUGACUUCUUAAUGAUAUUUCGGGUUGAGGAUUUCUGUCU
rnacentral:lncRNA from 1 species